CAUUAUUCUGAAAUCAAUCCUCUAAUUGCCGUCCUCAGGUGCUUCUGGCUCUCAGCGCGGCCGCUUCGGAUCCAGGUGUGAACACAGUCUCUGGUUUGGCAGAUUCCCCCUCAGUCGCCCUGUUUGGACCAGAACUUGGAGAGGAAAGACGCAUCAAACGCAGCGUAAAAUCCACAGAUAUGUCAUGGUGUGAACAGUAAAACUGGACUCUGAGAUUCUGCUGGUUUCUUAAAUAUUCCCAGAGUUUGAAGACUCUGAUGAAGGCUUUGAUGAUUGUUUGCUACGUCUUCAUCAUCAUGUGCAACUCCAUUGCCAUGGGAACUGAUGAUGCAGGCGAGAGAAGGCCCCUAAUUGGUUCGGUCGGUUCCAGCAGCUUCUUGGACCACGGCGACUAGUUUUGAAGCUGUCUUGAUGACUCACAGAUGAAUAGAAAGUUGAAAAGAAAGUGCAGCAAAGAGACGGAGACGGAGAGUCUGUUGUCAUUCAUUUCAAUGAUUCAGUCGGAUCUGCAUUCAUUCUCUGCAAAGUGCCGAAUGCUUUCUGGACGUGAAGAGAAAAAAGGAUCUUUAAACGAAACAGAUGUGACUCUGCAGCAGGUUACAGUGUGUGUGGAGCCUCUGACGCUCCCAACACUUACUCAAACGCACAAGCAACACACACACUUCAUGCAGAACAACAUGCACGAGAAAGAGAGAAUGUGAGUCCUGUUUGCACCUGUGUGAUUGACGUGCAAACUUCUGCAUUUGAUCCUCCUGUGAUUUACAGAGAGUUUUAUUCCUGGGAAUAGUGGAAGGGAACUGACUCACUGGGUUUGAUGUCUGGAGCAAUGAAUCAUGGGAGGACUGCAGCAGCUGGGGGUCUCGUGGAAAGAGUCAUCCUUAAAAACGCUUUGAUCUGCCUUGAUAAAAAGAAUUAUUUUACAAACUUUAUUUACCAAAUGCUUUUCAUGCUCAAAGCUCAGAGCACCAGUAAUGGAUCUGAACACACUCAUGUUUACUGAUCGCACGUAACAAACAAACACA